rnacentral:lncRNA from 1 species
AAAUGACAUUUUUUUCUUAUCUUUGCUAUUAAAAUACUAAUAUCACAUCUUAUAAAUUUGCUCGAGGAAAAAUGGAUAAAUAAAUAUAUUUUAAAUUGUCAUUUUAUUUUUUUUUCUAAAAUUAAUAUAUAUAUAAAAUUGAUUUAGAAGAAUUAGAUUAAUUAACUUAUUAAUUUGAGUGAUUUACUCUUUACUUUUCAGCCUAAACAACAUUCCAAACGAAAAACCUAUGACUAUCCCACCAACCCAACCCAACAUCCCACCUUUAAAACAGUUAAACUAGCCGACUCAACACCCCUAAAUAUCUUUCUUAUUCACAGACAUAGAUAUUUGCCAUUCUCUCUUCUCUACAAACGCCAAAUCGCUCAGACCAUUGGAUAAUAGCAAUUCUAAUGGUGUUCCACCUUCUCCGUCACCUUUCAACCCACAUACAUCAAUCCCAUGUCUUUUCCAUCAACUUUAUAUCUCUUCUAUCCUUUUUUAUCAAAUCAAAGCUGCAAAAACUUCCAUCCACCACUGUUGUCCCUGAAAAGGUAAAGAACAAGAAGGAUCACUAUGUUUAGGAGCGUUAACCCCUUAAUUCUAUGAGAAAAGGAAGCAUUCAAAUUGUCAGUUUCUCCCUUUUACAUCGACUAAAAAAAUAAUCUUUUCUCUAUCUCUAAUUUUUCUCUGUGAUUUGGGUCCUUUCCAAGAAUUCAAAUCUGAAUUCUUGAGUCCUCACUCGAGGACCGUUGGAACCCCCCUAAAAUUUUUUAUAAAAGGAGUCUUUGGGCUCCCAUUUUGCAUCAACUAGAGUAGGGUUCAAGAAUCAUCAAUUAUCAAAUUAACAUUAAACAUCAAGAAGCUCAUAUUUUUAUUUUCUCUUUAUUUUUCUUACUCUAUUCUCGAGUUUGAGUUCAAGUUCGAGUUCGAAUCUUCGACGGAAAACCCAAGUUCGCUGCUCCACAAAAGGUCAUUAAUCACAUUCACCUUUCGUUUCGGUUUCUAGAAAUAAAAAUGUAGUCGUUCAAUAGUCUUUUUGCUUUGUCGAAAUUCUACCUCUUUGUAUGUGUUGGUUUUUUACUGUUUCCUGUAGUUUCAAUUUGUAAAAAAAAAUGGUUAACAAUAACUGAUAACAUUUAGAGAAACUACUUUGGUGAAUAAGUAUGUCGUUUAUGUCAUUAUGUUCUGGAAUCCAUCGAAACCGGUUAUGCUUGUUCUUGUUCCAAAAUCUAUGUCAAGAGGUUUUAAAAAAUAAACUUGAACGUUUAGGUAGAUGGAAUCACUUUGCUAUGCUUUGAGGAUUUGUGUGUGAAUAAAAGGCUCUUUUACUAGCUUACUCAUCUCCAUCUCAGGUUCAGCACAUCUGAAAAUCAGUUUAUAUUCAGCUUAUUUGAAAGUCAUUACUGGACGAUUUCGUUAAUCCAAAAUUGGCUAAGUAUUUGAUCUAAGUUUUAGCUAUGUCAAAAAUGUGAAGUUUUAAGUCUAUAUUUGAUUGUAAUGUUCUAUUUAGAAUUCUUAAAAUUGUCUAAGACACAUUUUUGGGAUAAUUUGCCUCCCUCAUUUUAGCAUAGCAGUGGCAUAUAAUUUGGUGGAACCGAGGAUUUUUACUUGUUUUGUUUGUUAAUAAGUGUAUAUGUAAGUAGAACCAAAAUAUUAACUCGAUAAUCUCUUUUUUCCUCAUGAUUACAAAUAAUAAGUUGUGUGCAGUAGGUUUCUUCCUAUUAUUGUUGUUAUGUACUUAAAUAUCCUGCCGUCUGAAUUGAGUGUGUUGUCCCUCAUAACCAAGAGGCUCACGAAGUGAGCAAUUAAGAAUUCUUUUUGAUAGUAAACUAGAAACUACGUGAGAUCGUGAACUGUAUAUGCUAUCUGAUGAUUAGAUUUUAGUUUGGUAAUCUACAUUGUCACCAUGACUGAAUAUCAAAGUUAGAACUCAUAUGCGUUUUAGCUUGCCUUAAUGAUUCUUAGUGAUUUUGUUCUUGCAGUAACCAGUGUUUUCGAUCCAUGAAUCAUGUUUAAGCUCAUGUGUUGAUGCCUAAAAUCUAUUUCUGAUAAUUAACUCAUUCUUUUCAUCUUUAUAGUUUAUAUAACAUGCUCAUAGAGGAUUGUUUAAAAGGUCGUUAGUCAUACUGUUUGGAUGUUACUUCAUUAAUCUUUAGUUGCAUACUUGAACCAUUUUUCCAGAUGUUCAUUAGUCCCCCAUGUAAAAGUGUUUUGUUUAGACUUUUUGACUAAUGGGUUUGUUUCAAAUAUUUUCUUUGUUCUUACAUAUAGUAAGUAGAGAUGAGUAUACCUUAGGACACGUCAAAUUCUUGACCUCGUCCAAAAUGUGUGUCUAAGCACGGUAUAAAGAGCUUCUUUUUGGGAUUUUUUUUGUUGACAGUGAAUUUCUAAUUUUUUUUACUUUUUUUAUGUGUAAACAUUUGUUUAAAAACCAGAUUUCGAGUUCAUGCAAGUUCAUAUAUAUAGCUAUCGUGGUUAAGAAGUAUUUAUGCUAAAAAUAUAAACAGCAUAUUUUCUAUAGAAAUCAUGUUGUUAGGAAUUCUUUUGGUAUUACAUUGACUAAAUAAUUCAGAGUAUUUAGGUGGGUUUGCUGGUAAUGAGAAAGACACCAAGUAUUGGUCGUACUUAAUCUCCGGUGUUUGCUCGACUUAUAUCUUUAAUAUUCUUGUUGGAGAGCAAUAUUUAGUAUGUUCUUAGUUGUUUAUUAUACCUUGAACUGCUAAAUGGGUGCUUCUUUUUCUAAACUACUGUCAGGGUAUUUAUCAUAUUUGUUGGAAGCUAUGAACCGUUCUAUGUCUACAUGAUAUAUAGAAGUCAUGUUGAUCAAGUUAUACUUCUCCAAGCAAUCUUUGUUCUGUUUUAUUUUUUUUUGGAGAACAUGACGUUAGGAAAGUAAACUGUCAAUAGUGUUUUUCCAUUGGCUGAUUAUCAAGUUUCAAGUAUGAUUACGUAAACUAGUUUUCUUAUAAGAGAACAUGAUAAAAUUAAUCAAUGGGUUCUUUUUAAAACUUUAUAAGCCGCAUAGGUAUGGCUGAGUGAUUUAUAUUUUGCCCAAAUGAGAAUUUAGUUUAUGACCAUCAACUUGUGUUGUAUAUUGUCAGGAUCUUAAUUAUACACAUACUUCUGAUCCUGUUCUUUCUUACUUCAUAUGUACGCUUGGAAGAGCGCUUGGGGCCUCAUGGCUCGAUCCAUCUAUCCUAAUUAGAGAAGUGAUCAAAUAUCACAUUACAUAUUGAAGUGAUCAAAUAUCACAUUACAUAUUUUCUUCUAGCAAAAACUUUCCCUCUCAUUCAACUUUAUUCUUCUUUUGUAGAUGAUUAUUAUUAUUUUUGCUUAAUAUUUCACAGAUUAUUAUUUGAAUUUUGUGUUUUAUAUGUUCUUUUAAUUGGUAGGAGUCCUGAAAUUUUAGCAAAUAUAAUUGCUUCCUUUCUACCUCUUAAAUUUUUUUCUAAGCAUAAUCACUAGGCUUCGACAUUUAAUUUACAUUAUCAAAAGUUUUAAAAUUUUGUACGUUAAAACAUACAUUUUAGAAUAAAUGGCCUUAUCUGUAGAAUUAAAAUUAGUUUCUCAUUAGUUACUAAUGUCGAAUUAAUAAAAUAUAGAUUUUUGCAGUAGGCGAAUAUUUCAUUGCUAGACUCGAAAAUCGGCUUUAAUAAUUUUAGAUAUGGUAAAUCAACUCCAUUUUUCAUCAAUUUCAAAUAAAAUAUGGCAGCUUUGCUAAACCGACUUAGCAAGGCCCUUUUUUAGGAUCUUAAAUUAUCAAAAAAUAUUUUAUUUAUUUAUUUAUUUUAGCUGUAUCGUAAUAAAUAAUAAAUUCUCAAGUUAUUGUAGAUUUAAACUGUAGGAACCCUUGGGCAUUGAACCACACAGUGAGAAACCAGGUCCCUCAAAAUCAAUCACAGGCCAAGUACACAAACAUAACCGGGAAGUAAGAGACACUGCAUGAAGUGUAAAAACACAAAAUUUUAUGUGGAAAUCCAGGAAGGGAAAAACCACGACUUGCCUUCACAAGCACCUCAAAAUUCACUAUAAUCAAACUCUUGAUUAUAGUCUUGAUUUCAGCCUAACUCUAGGCUUCUUUUGCUUAUAGUAACUCUACUACAAGCUCAUCUUGACAACUUUACCAAGGAUCCUCUACACUAAUUAGCUCUAAUGAGUAUCGAACUUAAGCAACUCUACCCAAACACUCUCUACUCAAAAAGACAUUACUCGUAUAACAUGAAUAAUUCAUUUACAAAUCAGAACUCACUCAAGAACAAUUUCUAUUUAAGCUCACAUAAGCAGCUAAGAACUUGAGUAGUGUUGAAAUGGGUUUUGCUGCCUCUUUUCACUCUUUGUGUUUGCCAAAAAUCAUUUGAUGAAGAGGUGUCUCUUUUCUUUUAUAUCUGAGUGAUGAUUAGGGCUGAAAGAUCAUUGGACCAGCUGUCUUAAUCAGUAUAAAAUAACGCUUGCAAGUUUGUUACACAAGAGGACAAAACUAUGUAGACAAUGUGUGCCAGCUGUACUAUACCUUGCACAUCCAAGGACCUGGUCCCUUGCAGUUAGCUGCUCAUCAUCAAAACUACAUAUAGUAAUUUUUCCCUUUUUUGAUGAUGAAAAACCAACCAUACAGUUUUGAGCCUCAAUGCACAUUCAUCACAUUUAAUCAAUGUGAUUACCACUUGAAGAUGAAUAUUCCCCCUAUCAUCAUGCUUCCUCCAUCAUCAUGCAACAUAGGGACCUGGUCCUUUGUUGUCAUUUGCAACAAAAACCUCUGAUUUCCUCCCUUUGUCAUCAUGCACCUUCAUUUAGUGCAUUUGCACACUUUUCUUGGUUAAUAUGACUCCCUUCAUUCAUCUAUUCAGCAUAUCACAUACUUCUCCCUAUUAGCAUUCCAUUCAAAUCCGCAACUUAAAUUACCUGGUACCUGGUCUCUACUACAUGAACUCAGUUACUACACGAACUAAGUAUUCCCCCUUUUGGCAUUAUUGAAAAAGAUUAACAGUAAACUAAGAGUAAAAAUAAGUGCAAUCUAAUUAACUCAUGGCUACUGGGGCAGCACUAACAAGAAUGAACAACUUUAAAUUGGGACAAAUGAGGCACACAAGCAAAAUUCAUUCAUUUUACAACCAGAAGUCAGUACCAGUAUAGUUAUGCCAUAUUAACAGAUAAAAUAAACUGUCUUCAAGAGCCAAUAUAAGAAUCAAAAUAUGAGACUGACAUAAAAUUGAUUAAAAGACAGGGAUAACAAGGCUUAGGUAAGAGGGGGUUUGGAAGAAAGAGACUUAAGCAGCAUCUCCAUUCUUUUAAUUUCAGCCUUGUGGGCAUUCAAAAAUUGUUUGGUGAGAACCUUACUUCAGUAUUUAGUUUUGAACUUCACCAGUCAGUUAUGUCACUUUUUCCUAAAGUCUUGUAAUUUCAGUUGUAAUUUCAUCAAUGGCACCUGAUUCCUUAGAAGACAAUUUAUGAUUCUGCAACUUCAGGUGCACUAUUUUAAUAUCUUUUACAGCCAACAUGAUUCUUAACUCUUCCACUUUUAUUCCCAACAUCUCUUGAAUAGCUAGCAACUCAGAUACUUGAGAAACUGAUCAUAAGAGUUGUUAGACUGAACAUUUGCUUAGUUGUUCCAGGUGUUUCCUUAGUUCCAUCCAAACCAGAAUGCUCAAACACCUUAUUCAGAAUACAUCCACAUGACAUUCCAUGUUUGCCUUUUUUCAUGAACCACUUUAUGCAUAUGCUUUAUCAUUAGAGUAGAAAGACUUAUCAAUUCAAACAUGCUCAAGGAUUCAAUCAAAAACUAGUCAACACUAGAGGUAAUUAUUCCUUUUUUUUUUUACCUUGGCAACAGGACCUUAUUGAUGAACUUAAAUAGCAGCUGAUACUCACUUUUUAGAAACUUUCUUUUCACUGCAGAUGUUGAGGUCCCUCUUAUCUUGAUGCCUCAAUCAUGAAUUCAGUAGUAUCCUGUUGAUUUACUACACUCCUUGCCCCUAUAAUAGGUAUAUCUAGGAUUCCUCCUAGUUUUUUUUCAUCCAACUGAAGAUACGUUCCUUGUACUUGUGCACUCAAUCUUAAACAAUCAUCUGAGAAUUCCAUGGAGUGGUAUAAUUCUCUCACCUCACCUUCAAAGACAAUGGGAGUUGAUUCUAUUUGUAGGUCAAACCAACCCUGAUGCCUCACAUACUUUACCAGUUCUUCCGUUCCUAAUUUUUCAUAAAUUUUUGGAUAAACACUCUCCCAGAAAGAACCUUCUGUGUUCUCAUGUUCCCAAUAUAUCAUUCUCUGUAUAUGUCUUUUUUUUUUCUCAUUCUAUUUCUUUCUUUUGGGCUCACUACUUGGCUCUCCUUUUUCAUUAGAUUUUUUCUUCUUGGGACCAGGUCUCUCAGAGUCUUUUCUUUUCUUGACAGAUAUAUGUUUCUUCCUUAUUUCAAUAAGAUUAUAAGACUUUGACUUAGAGGACCUAAGGUGAAGUUUUCUAUGGCUUUGGUUGCUGAAGGAUUAAGAUAUUCGAUGAGGGCAUAAUCAAUUUGAUUUUUUGGAGUUUUAUCAACUUCAGGGUUCUUAGAUGGGUUUAAGGAAGCAGCAAUGUCAGUUAUUUGGUUUUGUGAGUGAAAGAGAGUGAGCUAGAACCAGCUAGGCUUUUAGAUUUGGGAAGAUGAUAUGGACUUAGUUGAAGAAGGUUUGAUUUAGCAAUUUUAAGUGAUGACCAAUGUCAUAAAAAGAUGUUUCUUUUAAACUGACACAUCUGAUCCUACUAAAUAUAAUUUCUUCAUUUUGCAAAUAAACUGACUAAUUAUUACAGAGAAAUAAAGACGCGUGGCCCUUUUCAGAUAGUAUUUUAUGUUCAUUAAGGCAUCCAGUAUAGGUGCUAACCUGAGAUGGGACUAGGUCCCUCUUUUUUUGGGUGAAUUUUCAAAUUUGUGUUUUCCAAGAUUGUCCACUUCCAAAGUUGCAAAGGUAUAAUAUUGAGUUAUACCAAUAUGCACCUAUUUUACUUAGGAUACCUGCUUCCUAAUCAUAGCUAAAUUUUUUGGGAUGACACGGAUUUCCAUGAUAUUCAUUCUGCUGAAGCUUCUUCUUCUGAGAUGGAUUUACUAAGUACCAAGUCCCUUGAAAUCAUCUAUUUCAAAAUGAGAUACCUCCAUCUUAAAGUGUCUUGAAAGAGAGAACACAUUUGGACCUUCCAUCAUCGAGCUUUGAACCUUUUAAAUAAAUGAAUUAUCCCUGACUGCAAUCUCCUUUCUCAUACCUAAAAUCCUGAUCACAUGUUUGAUUUGGGAACCCACUUGAGUUUGAGUUCCUAGUAAGAAGACAAUGGUGCGAUCAAAACUUUCUUGGUCCAUCUAGGUAGAGAAUUUUUCUUCAUCUUAUUCAAAUACUUAAACCCAUUUAGCUGUGUAUUCUCCUGUUGACCAUAUCUGAAUUUGUUUAUUUCAGUAGUUAUCCAACUUAGAAAAUUUUCCAUGGUGUGCCUAUAUUCCCUAUAAUGAUUGCACAUGGGUUUGGGAGGCUUGUUUCUGGCAUCAUCGAUAGUCUCUUCUUGCCACCUUGUAGGUUGGAAUUCUCUUUAGUAUCCUAGUCCUUUGUUAUCAUUAACAUCGUGAAUAGUCAGAUUAUAAAAAAAACUGUGAAGAAGCAUUCUAUUUAAAAAAUUUAUUCAAUUCUUCUUUUAAGCGGACCAGAUCCCUCUCUAACUCUUUAUUCCUGUGAAGUGCAGACAUAAGGUGUUUUUGAGAAUCCCUUAGCCUUUCCUCAAGAUUAAUUUAAAACCUUGAAUUCUUUCUUCCCUUUUUCAUCUACCUUAUUUACCUUCUUCAGAUUACUUAUUAAGCUCAAAUUUUUAUAUUUUAUUUUUGUGAAUAACUCUUUAGUUUCAGAAUUUUGUAAAGCAAAAGCAAUCAACUCAUGCUCUUGAUUCUCUACUUUUUCUUUCAUGGUAUUCUUCUUAACAACCAUUUCACAUAGAGAGUCAAUUAAGACACUAGAAAACCUUUUUAUCUUUCUAGCAGUGUAAUUAUCUAGAUUCUCCUUAGUAUAAAAAAGAGUUACCUUCUUUUCUUAUUCAUCUUCUGUGUUUGCCAUGAAUGCAAAUAGCGAAUCAUAGAUAACUGGACUAUUUUCCACUGCUACCAUGGAAACAUCUUUAGUCUUUUCAUCUUUACCUAAUUACUGGAAGAGUCUAUGCUACUAGAGUUUGCUUUACAGCAUAUUCAGCUGCUGCCUUUCUUCUUGAAUUAUCAGGGACCUGGUCCCUGUUCUUUCCUUUGUCAUCAAUAGUCAUGAAGUAAUCCUGAUAAUCCAUUUUGUGUAUAGGACAGUCCAUAAUGAAAUGCUCAGCACUUCCAUAUUUGUGAAAAUCCUCAACAUUGCCUUCUAUUUUGGUGUUGCUUCCUCUCCUUUGGAACUGAUCACCCUUCUUUAUAACACUAAUAAUUCAUUUUUCCAAAUAGAUAACCCCAGUUUUAUCUUUAUCUAGAUCAUGUUUGGAAGCUUUUAAUACCAGGGAUUUUCCCAUUUUUGCAUCAUUCUUCUCUAUCCGUUGAUGCUUCUUGAUAUCAUGGGUUUUUAAAUUUCCAAUCAACUUAUCCAUGGUGAGGGUCUUUAGAUUUUUGGCUUCAGUUAUGGCAUCUACUUUGCUUUCCCAGGACUUGGGAAGAACAACAAGAUUUUUUCUCACUUGCUUAUACAAUGGAAUCACUUAUCCCAGGCAAUAAAGCUCAUUAGUGAUAAAAGUGAAUCUUGUAUGCAUUUCUUAGAUUGUUUCUCCUUCUUUCAUGGAGAAGGUUUCACACUAAGUAGUCAACAUGUCUAUUUUAGAAUUCUUCACAUCUGUAAUAAGACAUUUCAUCGUUGCUAAAUUAUUCAUAAUAAAUUCAUGAAAAUUCUUUAUUUUCAUUCCUUAGUAUUAACUUGGGCCCAAAAUAGCCAAUUUUUUAUUUAUUACAUCACCUCAAACUCUUCAACAAAGAUUUUAGCCUUCGAAUGUGUCUAGAUAGACUCAAACUCAAUGAAUUUAAUUAUUUAUGAGUUAUAAUAUCAAUACUUUAAUUGUAAAGUACUUUCGGUAUGAAUUAAGGUCUUACAAUAUCCCUAACACAAAGUUAAGUAUAAAACCUUAUUUUCGAUAUAGUUUCAAUAUGUGUUUCUAUUAGGGCAACUUAAAACAAUAAUAUCUCAUAGAAUAUAAGGAUUUACGGGUCCCAAUACCUAUAAAAUCAAAGAUCUCUGAGUUCUCUUUCCAAUGCAAUAAAUCGUUCCUCAAUCUGAACUUGGAGUAAAACGUUAUGACUGUUUUACUGAGCACUGUCCGGUUUGAAAUGGGAUUUUGUUGUAGUGAAAAUUCUAAUUGUAUUUAAAUCAGCUUCAGCUGUAUUUUAGGUCUAAAAAUCCCAAAUUUUAUUUCCUAACCCUAGAGAAGUGAUUAACCAAAGCUUAGGGUGAAAUUGCUUCAUUGGGGUAAGUUUUUCCAUUAUUUUCUUUGACUUUUAAUCCUUUAAUAUUUUAGAAUCCAUAGAAUGACCUUUAAUGGUGGAAUUCUUUUGGGGAAUACUCAUAGGUAUUUUUAAUAUGACCUAGAGCUGAUUCUAAACUAUAAAUUAAAGAUUUCUAACAUGAAUUUCAUAAACUAGAUUAUGAAUUUUGAUGGUUAGGAACUCUAAAUUUCAUAAAGAUGAGACCUUUAGUAUAAAAACUCCAUUAUGGAGAUGAGUUAAGCUUGAAAGAGAUAAUUAAUGAUUAAUUGAAUUUGGAGGAUGAUACAGACCUUGAAUUAAGGGUAGAAUUAGCGGGUUUGAAUCCCCAAGAUAUUUUAUUGAAGAGUAAUUACUUAUUACUCUUAUAAUUGCUUGAUUUUUAGAUGAUUGAUUAUUCCAAGGCAUGAAGGAAAGGAGAGAGUAUCUUUGUUGCAGCUUGUUUCUUUCAAAAGCUUGACAUCCAGGUAGGCUAGGUUUAAUGAGCAGAAGAUUGUGUUAAUUUAUAUUUUCAUAACUUAGAAUUGAUGCGAGAAAGCAUAUCUAGGCCUGUGGGCAUGGAGUUGAGGUGGAUUAAGACAUAAGAAUUUAACUUUAAUCCCUAAAACUAUAUUAUUGAUUAAUUAUGUAAUAAUUGUGAUAUUAUGUGCUAAGUCCCCGCUAGGAGAUUGUUGUAAAUGAAGUAUGUGGACAUGAUAGUUCUUAGUUGUUCUAGUUAUGAACCUAGUUGAGUUAUAAUGAUCUUAAGUUUCAUGUAUUAGACAAUAAUAUGAUGAGGAGAAUCAUGAUAGGAUCAAGUAUUAAUGGGCAUAAUAAUAUCUAAAGGAUAGAUGAGUUGAAAAAGUGUAAUGAUUGUAUUAUAUGGAAAAAGGCAGUGACAUUUUAAUAAUUAAUGAGUAAGUAAUGCUCUAAUAGUGACUUGCAUGCUUAAGUGGUGAAUUGUGACUUAUUUUGUGAUAUUCUUGUUUUGGUAUUGAUUAAAGAACAUUAUCUAUUGGAUGUCCAUGAGAGGCUAAAUUGGUGAUAUGACGAUUUAUUGAAUUGUGCCUAUGAGAGGCUUGUUUGAUAAUGAUAACUCCUUGAAUUAAUGUCAUGAUUGACUUGUUGAUGAUCGUGAUGCAUUAUUGAAAUAAUACCUGUGAGAGGGUAAAAAUAUUGAUAAAUGAAAGCACUUGAUCGAAUUUCCUUAUGAUUUUAAAUACAUUUAUAAAUUUAGUACGUCGUAUUGCAUCCCGAAUGAUAGUGUGAAUUUAAUAAAAUAUAGACAGUAGGUUGCGAUUUAAUUGGAGUUUAGACUCGAUUUAAUUGUGUGUAUGCUCCUAAUUUGUAUACUUGUUGAUUAGUAGUCGUACAUGCUUGAAAUUAUUGAUGUUUGGAUUGUUGAUGCGUGUAUAAAUAAUUAUUGAUAAAUAAUUAUUGAAAAUUUACUUAAUGAAAUUGUCUUAUGACCUUAAGUGUACUUGUAAACUCGGAACAUCAUGUUGUAUGUUGUGAGAUAGUAAAAAUUUGAUAUUGAUAUUGCCUGUUUAUGGUGGAUCGAGUACCACGCCAGUACGGAUAUGUGUAUGUUAUAUCGGGUACCACGCCGGUACGGAUAUGUGUAUGUUGGAUUGGGUAUCAUACUGGUACGAAUAUGUAUAUAUAUAUUGGAUCAGGUACCACGCCGGUACGAAUAUGUGUAUAUUGGAUCAGGUACCACGCCAGCACAAAUAUGUAUAUGUUAGAUCAAAUAUGUAUAUGUUGGAUCGGGUACCAUGUCGACAUGGAUAUGUGUAUGUUGGAUCGGGUACCACGCUGGUAUGGAUAUGUAUAUAUAUUGGAUCGGGUACCACGCCGGUACAAAUAUGUGUGUGUUGGAUCGGGUACUACGCCGGUACGAAUAUGUGUGUGUUGAAUCGGGUACCACGCCGGUAUAGAUAUGUAUAUGUUGGAUUGGGUACCACGCCGGUACGGAUAUGUAUAUGUUGGAUCGGGUACCACGCCGGUAUGGAUAUGUAUAUGUUGGAUCGGGUACCACGCUGGUACGGUACAUGAACAUAGAUUGUUCCGUGCAGGUCAUGACUAUUUGGGCAAAAAUAAGUCCCAUAGCAUGUGUGGACAUAUUUGUGUUGAGUCUGUGGAUGUUUAUAGUAUGGUUGAUACUCUCGAUGGUUAUGUGGCCUGUUUGUGAGCACUGUUUGAUUUGGUAUUGUUGUAUUGUUGAUUCAUUGGGUGUUUGAUUGUGUGAUAUGUAUUUGAAAAAGUGAAACUUUGUACUUACUUAUAUGUUGGUUGACUUGCUUCAUUUAUAUGUGUUUUAAACUUAGCUUACCAGAAUGGCUAGUUAUCAUUCUUUAAUAUUAUAAGAGAGCAUUUGAUUGUUAGCCCGAGAGUUUAGUGUGGGUUGUCUAUGAUUACGGGUUUGUUCCUGUGGAAUAUGAGUAUGAAAAAAAUAAGGUGAAUAAAGAGGAAUAGUGAUGUAUUAGUGUUGGAUUGUGGUUAAUUGUUUGAAUCAAUGAGGCUAGAGUAUGUUAGUAGUGAAUAUAAUAUUGAUGGAGUUGGAAGAGUAGUUGGAUGGUGUAAGUUAUAUAGGUAAAGUAAUAAUGUUAUUACAACCUUAGUUGAAUUCUAUUCCAUUCAAGAUGUCAUGAUUUAUUUUCCUUAAUUCUAUUUUAUGAUUAUAUGGACUAACACGGUCGGUCGAUGAUGUAUACCAGUACGUGUGGUUGUUCUGACCCUACUCUUUUACAUUCCUUCUUGGGGUGUAGACUGGAUGCAGGUUAUUUUGCAGUCACUAGAUGGAUGACAAUAUUCAGCACUAACUUUUGCACUUUCUUCCUGACAUAUGUUAGAGUCCUUGUAUUAUUUAUUUUACUGUCAGUCUAUGUUGUAAUAGGUAGCUCUUGUACAUGUCUGGCCAAGUUUUGGGAUAGUGAAGGACAUUUGUAAGAAGUUUUUUGAAGAAAUUUAUUUAUU